ACUAGCUCGGUCGCGCGACCUCGAUUGAAUUGGGUGCCGGCCAGUGUGGCUCGGUCUCGUCACAGAUAUCGUCGCUCGCGAUCGCCGAGCGGUUGCCUCGCAAAUCAUCCUCUGCCGGAUCGACGUUUUUCCGACACCGCCAACUUCUGUUGACCCCACUGGUUCCGACAUAAUCGCUCUCUUCUUGCGCGGUAUGUUAUAAUUAACAAAGCGAGGAAGAAAGUGGUCCUUUGGUGAUCGCACCAGGACCUGUCCCUUUCUCUGAGCACCGAUUUACCCAGUGACCGAGUGGUCCUUUUCUCAGCCUUGAAAAGAUGCCCGAGCAGCGGGGAGCAGUCCUCCAGACGAGGAAAAAGCGCCUCGUCGCGUAAAUCUUGUCCAGGGCGUCUCGGCGUGCAUCCGUGGAGCUGUGGAAUGGUGGCCGAGAAAGAAGGGGUUCGAUCUGCACGACGCAGGACGUCGAGGGACCAAUAUCCUGAAAAGAUCAUCUCCACUCUCUGUACGCAGCUUCUUGCAAUUUUCGGACGCGCGACCUGAUCCUUGGUACACAUCUUAUGCGGCGAAUUUAGGAGAGAAUUUGGUACGAUAAAGAGGAGGCGAGGGAUGAAGCCCGGCGCGGCGAGAUGAAAGGAGGACUCCUCUUCCUUUUGGCUUUCUUCCUCUUCUGGCAGAGGCGAUCACACCCGCGCGGAUGCCGUGGUCCACGGAUGUUUAGUGCGCUCACGCUAAUUGCCACAUCUCGAGCCGCAUCCCGUGCGGCUCGCAGCCUCGAAAUAGCCGAACACCCGGUAGCUUCGUGGGAAUUAAUGGCCCCCCCUUCAUCGGAUGCGUUACACUUUUCGAACGAACCACGAAUCGGACAGGAGGGAGAGAACGCGUAAUUGACAACCUCUGAGCUCAACAUUUUCAACCUAAGAACCGAUCCCAUCUCCACUUACGAGGUAGACAGGAAUAAAUAAACCAACAAUUGCGUAGGCGGCGAUUAGAGGCCACAACGGUUGCUCGCGUUUUCGGGGGUUUUGAAGCCUCACUGAGGAGAGAGAGAGAGGGAGGAGGCAUGUCCCGAAGACGAGCAACUUAUUGAAGUUUCCGGUGCGAGUGGCUCCCAAGACAGAGCGCCGUCUGUUCCCUCUGUCGGCACGUCGUAAAGCUCUCGGGCCUAAGUAGCCCUAUCGACGGGGACCACUUGUGACCCCAUAGAAGAGGAUCUCGAGUGUCGCCCAACCGUGCCUACGCCACUGACGACUGCCCUGAGAAUCGUAUCAUCUUCCCGGGUCCAGAUGCGACCCGGCCGCGAGUGACCGCUCCCUCGAUAACGUCGAUCAUUACCAGAAGAACCGAAUUCUUUCUCUUUUUUUUCUUAUUUCUCUCGACUUCCUCGUCGGGGAUUUUGGGACAUCCCCGCAAGACCCUCGCACCCUCGACUUUAAUAUCUGCUAUUCCGCGCGAUCAUGCCCUAAUUUAAUCAGGGCCCUCGUAGCUCGCUCGCGCGAUUUCGCUAACUCGGUUAUAAACUUCCGGCGUAUUAUAUUCAUCCCUCCCCUCUCCGGUCCUGGGGGUGGAGGGCCAUAAUGGGGGCCAUGAGGAGGCAGGGUGUUACCCCGGAGUUAUUCCGGGCCCGAGGGCUCCUCCUUUGUCUCGAGACCAACGAGGGAAAGGUACUCCGAGUCGAUCAACCGGAAGCUGCGAGGGUGGAGGGGAAUUAUUUCCCGAGGACACCCCGCGCAGGGUGUCCCAGGAAAAUAAAUUGGCAUCCAGGGUGCGUUCCGAUUUAACGAUCGCGAGCUCCUACGUGGAAUUUUUUGGGAUAAGGGACCCACGGA
rnacentral:misc_RNA from 1 species